GCAUGUAUGCAACAAUCAGCAGGUUUGAAGAUGAAUGUACCAAUAUUUGUUUAUAACUUGCCUGAGUAAACAAACAUGUAGGAAGACAUAUUAAUGUAUGUAGUUGCAUUUGAUCAGAUUGUUAAAAUAAAUAAAAAAAAUCCAUUACUUAUCAUAUAUAUACAUUUUGCAGAAACAAUGACAGUUAUAUGUUAGACAAGAUUAUUUCUUAAGGUAAGAACAGCUUUCUUGUUGGUAGGUAAUUUGUAUGAAUUUAAAUUAAACCAUUGUUGUGACGUCAGCCUAUUCAUUUACCGUGGAUUCUUUUUCUAGAAUCAACGCUUCCUAAAUCUGUCGCUGAAAUGGGCUCACCAUAUUAGAUUUUUUUGUUUCCUUUGUGUGCCUAAUACCAUUAAGUUUGAAUAGACUGAUUAACUGAUUUCUGUUCACUAAUGGAAUUGUUUUAAAAACUUACCUUUAAUUUUUGUGAUUUCUAUAUGCCUUCACUGGAAUUCGAACCCGUCCAUGAAUUCUGAUAUGAGUUACUGACAUCAACAUAUCGACGAAACCUCUUUGCUAACAAUUGGUUACGAUUUAAACGUCUAUUUUAUUUAUAUAAAUGAAUAUAUGAUAUACAUCGGCACAACAGUCAAACAGGGCUUCUAUCUUUAUAUAUACAUAAUAGGCAAACGAAUAGUAUGAGUUGGUAGCCACGAAGUUUCAUGGUUAAGAUAAAUGAGUGUAAGAUACGGACUUGUAUUUUUAGGUUCGAAUCCCUGAGAUCUCUUUGUUGUCCCUUUUCUCUACUUUUCCAGUUUUUGUUCCUAUUUUGUAUGUUAUUGUGGAUAAUUUGUGUAAUAAAAGCGAGUUUGAUCGUUUUUUUUUACUAUAAUUGUUGGCUAUUCCACAUGUUGGAAGCAAAAAUGAUUACAUUCUCAUGAUUUGUCCAUUUUUGUUUUAUAAAUUAAUAUAAUAUGAUUUCAUCUGUUUUACUACACAAUUUUACAUCUGUUAAUUCGUAAAUUCCUAUGCUAGAAAAUCGUGAUGUGCCUAGAAUUAGGCUAUUUGUUAGAAAUUUCGGAAACAUACUUAUUAUAUGCACUAUAUAUAUGUUCUUUGUCGGGUUGUAUUCCCUUUGACACAUUCUCCAUUUCCAUGUUCAAUUUUAAUAGAAAUAAGGUCGAAUAUAUAUCUUAUUUUGUAAAAAUAGACAAUGUUCAGAUGCCUGAUAGUAUGAAGAUCUUUAAGGACAGCCGUGUUGUGUUAUAAUAUAUUUGUAUUUUUGUUUUAACCGUUUAAUUUUGAUAUUCAAUUUAUUGUAAUGAAUCAUUUGACACGAUUACAUGGUUAUUUCAACUCACUUACAAUACCUUCUAAUUAAGAAUAGGCGAUAAUUUUUAAAAGACAUUAGCACAAUAGUUUAAGUUAUAGAUACAAUGGAUAAGCGUUGAUUCAUGAAAAACAAACCAUUCGCCCUCCGGGCUCAUGGUUUCUUUUUCAAGAAUCCACGCUUAUCCAUUGUAUCUAUAUCAUUGAUUCUAUCAAAUUUCAUAAACACCGGACGUAUUUUUCUUCAAGUAACACACAUCUUUGGUACACGUGGUGACACUGAAAAAAGGGUAGAUUUACUAGAAACAAUCAGCAUUCAUUUUUUUCUGCAGUCAUACUGAGAGGAUUCAUGACACACUUUUCUAAAAUUGACGGUUUCCAAAUUUUCAAGUAACUUAGGUCUCAACUCAUUCAGUACAAAAACUCAUUAUGAUAGCCAAGAUUGAAAUCUGAGUUGACCGUGGAUGCAUCUGGUUCUUAUCAUAAGGGUUCUUUCUAGUCAAAUAGCUCUAAAACGGUUUCGGUUCUUGUACAUAAUUGACUUUCAAAUAUUUGACUUUUAAAAUUUCUGAGUAUGGUAAAUUAAAAAAACAGCUCUUCAGACGCAUGCAAUUUACAAAGUGUUGUUUUCAUAUUUUAAAUAUUAAUUCGAAUGUGCAUUAUGGAUAACACAAGUAAAUAGUUAUCAAAGGUACCAGGAUUAUACAUAGAAGUUAUCAGCUGUAUAUUAGUUAUAUUUUAUGUCCUUUAUGGUUUAUCGCUCUUCAGCGUUUUCGGUCCCUAUACAUUCUUGGCUUUCAAAUAUUUGGCUUUGAGUGUUCCUGAUUAACUAGCGUGGUAAACACUAAUUCCAAUUGCAGUUUUACGUAAAAACCAGAAAUUUAAGAUAUAUCUCCGAGGAUAUCAUUAAUUUAGUCGAAGUACUGACAUGAUUUAUGACAUAAUAUUUUAAAUUGCGCAUUUAUAAAUUUAAAUUUUAAGAAAAACUAAGGUUUCAAUUUCCUCAGUCAAAUUUGGUUCUUAAUGGAUUUGACUAUUUGUAGAUAAUUUUUGGCUUAUCGCUUUUCAAGAAUUCCGUUUUUAUACAUCAUUGACUUUUGAAUAUUUGGCUUUAAGCGAAAGAAGGUAAAUCCAUAAAAGCGUGUUGUUUUCAUUUUGUUGUUAUAAUUAUCCUAGUGUAGAGAAAUACUAUAAGUUUUAAGACAGCAAUACAGCCAAUUAAUGCGUUUUCUACUUAAUAAACAUCCUAAAUAAAAAUCAAUGAUUUUGUUAUAUUUUAGGAAUGUUAUGUAGAUGCAGGUUUACAAAAAAUGUUUAAAUUUGUUUUAUAUACAUCUAGCAUUAAACCUGUGUUUUUCUUUUAUGAUUUAAAUUCAAGGUGCAUGAAAGCACAUAUAAGUUAACGUUCAUUCUUAAAGUGGUACCUAACACUUUCACUAAAAUCAAUUUGGCUCGUUAAAUUUUCAUAAAAUUUUGACAAAGUAUUUACUUUGACCCUUUGAUAAAAAUAUAAUAAUUUCAAAAAUGUUUUUGAACCAACCAUUUUAUCAGAAAAAUUACACUGGUUAUAUAGCCGUUUGACAAACACUAAUUUUGAUCAUUGAGAAGCUUAAUAUUCUCUUAACAAGGCAACGUAAUCAAAACGUUCAGCUGAUUUUACAGAGUUAUCUCCCUGUAGCGUAGGUACCACCUUAAGUCGUCUACAUUUCAAAUAAACCAUGGAUACAUAUAGUUAUCUUCAUGAAUUUUUUGAAGCACUUCGAAUCAUUAGUCCAGUGAAGUCUUUUUCGUUUUCUAUAGUAUAUGUGUAUAUUUAGAGAACAAAAUGCACAAUUUGGUGAUUUUGUACCGUUUUAUUUUCUUUGACGCUAUUUGAUGUUGAUAUCGGAUUAACGCAAUCUUUCUAUUUCUAAUGUGUAUGUCUUGAUAACAUACUGACUGUCGCAUCUUAUACUCUUAACUAUGAUAAGUUAAAUGUGACGCAUAUAUCAACUCGUUGCGUAUAUUAUGUUCAUCAUGAAAUUCUAAGAAAAACCUAUGGUUUCAUCUCCCAGGCAAAGUUCAACAUUAAUGUAGUUGUCUGUCUUUUAUGUUCUUUUUGGUCAUAUUAAACAGUAUUAUAAACUUCAUCAUUUCAGACAACAUGUUAUCCCUACAACUGCUUUUAUUUUGUGUUAUACUGAUGACAACCUUAGCACAGUAUUAUGAACGGGAAAACGGCUGGGAUAAUGGCUGGGACGGAGAUAAUGGCUGGGAUAAUGGAUGGGACAAUGGAUGGGGUGGACGUGGAUUGUUUUAUAGAAGAUAUUAUUACUAUGGAUGAAGUUAGACAUAAACAGUGUUACCGACAUAUAUCUUUUGGAGGAACAAUAUUCACAUUUUUCAUUUCACGCCCAUUAGUCUUUGUAUUUCAACCCAAACAUACAUGUAUAUCGUUAAAUGAUUGUUAAAUA
rnacentral:lncRNA from 1 species